CGGAGGAAAAGAAACUAACAAGGAUUCCCCUAGAAACGGCGAGUGAAGCGGGAUGAGCUCAAACUUAAAAUCUCCGUUGCUUGCGACGGCGAAUUGUAGUCUCGAGAAGCGUUUUCAAGACGGAUGUGUGGUGCUUAAGUUGCUUGGAACGGCACAUCGUAGAGGGUGACAAUCCCGUACGUGGCACUGCGCACUGUUCACGAUGCCUUUCUAUGAGUCGGGUUGCUUGGGAAUGCAGCCCAAAAUGGGAGG
rnacentral:rRNA from 1 species